rnacentral:rRNA from 1 species
AUGGCUCCCUCCGGCGAUGUCGAGGGUGGAGACGACGGCGGCUCCAGAUCCGGACGGAGUCGCGGGCGGGACCUGCUUGGGGUCGACUAUGACUCCUCCUCCUCAGAGGACAGCCCAUUAUCUCCGUGGCGCGGGCAGAGGGCGGGUGCGGCGGCUGUGGGGGCGGCGGUGGCGCCGCCGCCUGCUGCUCCAUUUGGAUCCAGAUCCAUUCAAGAUGAAGGCGCGGGAGACCAACCCGAUGAGGAAGAGCCGCCAUCUUCUGGGCGUGCAGGCAAGGCUUCCGCUGCGGCGCGGUCGCCGUCUGAUGCAGCAGUCGUCCCUACUAACACCGGCGACGACACGUCGAGCUAUGAGCAGUGGGACGUGCAUAUUGAUUUUGAAGGGAUUAAAUACAUCAGGACAAAGUUCUUUAAGAAAGACAUAAGAUAUUACAAUCUUAUGUAUGUGCUGCUUGACAAUGGGUAUAGUUUUUCAGACUGCCUAUAUUACAUGAGAUGUGGUGGAAUAGGAUUGGAUGGUUUUAAACUGCUUGACAGCCAGAUUAAGGUGGAUGAAAUGCUUAGGCAAUACCAGGACAUCAGGAGGAUAACAUUUGAAAAUGGUGUGGCCCAUAAGGAAUUUGGUGAUUAUGUUGGUUCAAGUUCAGGCAGAGGCACAGAUGAAAAUUUGUUCCUGGCCACACAACAGAGUGUAAAUUUCCAGCCCAUCCAAACUAUGCCACCUCCUGACAUGGCCAAUUAUGCAGACAUGGAUGACAUGGAUUUGGAUUCAGAAACUGAGGAGGAAAAUAGCUCAAAUGAAGAUAGUGCAGACCUGCAGACAACUGUAGCAGAUAUGAAGAAGGCAGCACUGCACUUUGAGCAGCCUGUGCUUAAGAUUGGAAAGAGAGUAGGCCCAACAACAAGAACACACUCUUCAGCCAAUGAUCCAAUUGAGCCUGACUGGUUUCCCUCAGGUGAUGAGGAUGAUAAUCUUGGUUUUUUGGACUCAGAAGAUGAUGAUGGAAUUGAGCCUAUGUCUUUUAUUAUUCCCUCAGGAAGGAAAACAAGAGCAGAGAAGGCAAAGCCAAGAAAAUGGUAUGAUGAAAGCAGACUCAAUCCAGAACAGCAAUUUUGUUUGAAGCUAUGUUUCAAAGAUGUGUACCAAUUUAGGAGUGCUCUACUUAACUUUCACAUCAAGCAGCUGAGGUCUUUCAGAUAUCACAGGAACUGCAAAGACAGGGUCAUUGCUUGGUGUGACCACAAGGACAAAGGAUGUCCUUUUUAUAUUGUUGCUUCUCAGAUCAAGAAUGAGCAAACAUUUUGUGUAAAGAAGUUCAGAGCAGAACAUACUUGCCCAACUAGUGACAAACAUAGUAAAGUGAGCUCAAAGUGGCUAGGAAGCAGUAUCUUAGAGACAAUUAGAUCAGACCCAAACACAACUGUGCCAGCAUUGGUGGACAAGGCAAAGAGAAAAUUUGGAAUUGAAGUUCCAAAGAUGAUGGCAUGGAGAGCUAAGAAGGUAGCAAAGGAAAUUGUACUAGGGGAUCAUAAGAAGCAGUACCAUAGGUUGUCUGAUUACAUUGAAACAGUUAAAUUAUGCAAUCCAGGAUCUAGAUGCAUUGUCACAACUGUCACUCCUACAAGGACAAAUGAAAACCCACAUCCAGGUCCUAGGUUCCAUGGUCUUUUCUUUUGUCUCAAUGCACCUAGGGAGGGUUUUCUAAAUGGAUGUAGGCCUUUCAUUGGUUUGGAUGGAUGCUUCAUAAAGCUUACAACUGGAGCACAAAUCCUAGCAGCUACUGGCAGGGAUGCCAACAACAACAUGUAUCCCGUUGCUUUUGGAAUUGUAGGAGUGGAGGACACACCCAGUUGGAGCUGGUUUCUCACCCAACUUAAGUAUGCUCUGGGAGGCACAGAAGAGGGGAAGUUUGGCAAAUACACCAUCAUGUCAGAUAGGCAGAAGGGCCUGCUUAAUGCUGUCAAUGCUGUAUUUCCAAACUGCCCACACAGAUUUUGUUUAAGGCACAUUUAUGCAAAUUUUCAAAGAGCUGGAUUUAGAGGUGAAGAUCUGAAAAAAUGCAUGGACAGUGCUAGCUAUUCCUACACAAAGCAUGCUUUUGAUGUAGCCAUGGCCAAUUUGAAGAAUGAGUGUGAGGAUGCAUGGAGGUGGUUAUCUGGUAUUCCAGUACACACAUGGGCUAGGCAUGAAAUGGACACAAAUUGCAAAACAGACCUGGUGGUUAAUAACAUAAGUGAGGUCUUCAAUAAAUAUAUCUUGGAUGUUAGAAACAAACCAAUAGUGACAAUGAUUAAUGGAAUCAAAGACAAGUUGCUAGUCAGGUUUGAUGGAAAAAGAGAAAAUGCAGCAGCUUCUAGAUGGGAAAUAGCUCCAACAUAUGCAGAGCAGCUGGAGGUGAGCAAGAAGUUUCAAAGAGAUUGCAAAGCAAUUAGGGCAGGGCCUAACCUGUGGCAAGUGAGCAGUGGGCCAAAGACCUAUGCUGUGAACCUUGAGGAGCACACUUGUGGAUGCAGGAAGUGGGACAUGUCAGGUUUGCCAUGCAACCAUGCUUGUAGUGCAAUUUACAAGGCCAAGAUGCAACCUGAGGAUUUUGUAAGUCCUUUCUUGAGGAAAGAAAUGUAUUUGGAGGCAUACAAACCAAUAGUGUAUCCAGUUCCUGGAGAAGAUGCUUGGGUCAAGUCAGGAAAACCAGAUAUUGAGCCUCCUGUAUUCCACAAAGAGGACCAGAGUGGAAGAAAAGAAGAAAAGAGGAAGAAGGGAAGGUUUGAAGUGCCUAAACCAAAAGAUACCUCUAGGAUGGCUACAAUCAGAUGUGGCAACUGUAGGUUAAUGGGCCACAGGUUUACUAAUUGUGGACAACCUUUGAGGCCUGAUCUGCAGCUGAGGAAAAAUAGAAGCAUGGAAAAGAGGAGGCAAAAGGCAGAAUCCUACACUCCACCUGAUGCUACUGCUGCUCCUAUGGCACCAAGAGCUGCUCCUAGGGCACCAAGAGCUGCUCCUAGGGCACCAAGGGCUGCUUUCUCAGCACCAAGGCCAGCAGCUAGGCCUCCAUGUGGAGAAGGGACUUCUUCUGCUGCUGGUACUUCUACAUCUACAUCAACUAUUGGUGCUACUGCUGCUAAAAAACAGAGGUCAGUGAGAGGUGGAAGAGUUGGUGGAGCAUCAAAUGCUGCAACAGGUUCAAGGAAGAAACCUCAGAAAUAUGCAAGACUCAAGAGCUACUUCACAGCAAGUGGAAAUGUGUGA